AAGCCAAAGGUAGGGCGAACCCGUUGGGGGCGAAUUACCUCGGUAUGGUGCGGCGACUGCUCUGCCCGCGCGACGGUGCGGCUCUGCGGCCAAUCCUGGCGAUGACGACAAAUUACGCGCACCACGGACGGAUUCCUAGCUCGCCAAUGGCUCCUACACCUUCAACGAGCACUAGCGAACCACUGAGUCCCCUUGGGUCGAGCACAGAUAGUACCGGCGGCGAGUUGAUAUGCAGCGGCACCCACUUCCCCUUUUUCUCGAUGGCAACUCCCUCUCUCCCUCUCUUUUUUGCACCAGGCACGACUCGGAUGCAUGGGUUCUUGCGGGCAGGGGCAUGGGGUCCAUUUUUAUUGCGCAUGCGAGGGUGAUUCGACCGAUUCGGCCCACCUCGAUUUCGGCUGGUUCCGUUGGCUAUUGACACGACCUUUGUUUCAGUUGAGAAGAAAGUGCUGACAAGGUGGCCCCACAUGACAGUGGCAGAGGUGAGUCUCCGCACCGGCCCUCAGCGCCUGCCCCAAUCGUUUCGGAAGGAUUGGGUAAGUGGGUCACGCGGAAUUUGGUUCAGCUGGGCCGAAAGGAGGAGAUUAGGCCCAGACGCCUUUUUUCUAAUUUCCUUCCCUGUUCUUUUUAUUUUCCUUUUAAAUUUCAUGUUUUCUUUUCUUUUAAAUUUCAAAUUUGAAUUUCUAAUUCUAUGAGUUAUUUGUACACAAAUUGAAUGUGUAAUUUGAACACACCAAAUUGGGAUGAACUUAUUUUUUUAUAAAUUUAUUUUUUAUUGUAUAUAGAGUUUUCCAAACUCUAUAUUCCUACUAGGGUUGAUUUUCCAUUUCCAUUUUCAAACUUCCAUUUAAAUUUAGGUUUUAAUUCAUAUUCUCAUCACAUUAUUACAUCUCCACUAAUACUAUUGUUAUCAUUAUUUAAAUGCAUAAGCAAUCAAAACUCCAACAUGAUGCAUGGCUUAUUGAUGUGCCUUAUUUAAUUCUUUAAAUGUGAUUAUCUCCAUGAAAUGAGGAGUGGAUGGCAAGAUAUGUAACAAGACCCACUAUUUUUAUGAGUUUUUUUUAUAAUUUUGGGUAUUACAACAUCACCCCAAAUCUCGCAACUCUCACCAGCCUAGCCAUCCACGAGAGUCAAUCAGCCAACAUCCUCGCCCCAAAUCGACGCCAACCUCCCAUCCACGCCGAGGAUGGUGAUCCUUAAAGAACAUGCCAACCCAAUCCCCAUCGCCCCCAAAACAGAGAUUUGGUUCCACCCCAAUCUCCAUCCUUGGCAGCGACGCUCUCCAAUCCCCAAUUAUUGGCGGUCCAAUCCUCGGCGGCGGCGCUCAGCUCUCCUCAUGUGGCCACCCAGCACCUGCCCCAUCUUAAAGACGAGCCUGUAGAUGUGGCACUCGUGUUGUGCCUGCGCCUGCUUGUCUCUUCUGCUGUCGCCGUCGACCGACUGCUGCUUGUGUCGUGUGAGUGCCCUGGUGUUGACGCCAAACUCAAGGCUUGUGCGUUGCGAGGAUGUUGGCUGAUUAUACAUUGUCAGGUUGAUGUUCUUUUCUGUAACUCGUUUUGGUUUACAUAGACAUUCCAUGUUUUUUUCAUGGUCCGUGAGUGAUAAUUUGAUAUUGACCAGAAACAUAUUUUCAGGUAGUAAUUACAAUUUACAACUCAUAAGUUAAUGUUUUGGUUUACAUAGACAUUCCAUGUUUUUUGGCAAAACUGUAUGAUGUAUUUUCUAGGUAACCUUUAGGCAGGCUGGAUGUUAUAUGAGAAUAAUUAGUGACCAUUAUUUACAAUAGGCGUAUUCCACAUAUUUUUGCUUAUUUUAUUUCGAUUUUCUUUCAGUUAGCCACUCUUGUUAUGGUCUUCAUCCUAUAUUUUAAUUCGAUUUUCUUUCGGUUAGCCUAUACCGACAUAAAUUUCAAUUCCUUAAGUGUGGAGGUUUCUGUUAUGGUUUUGGAAGAUACUUGUGUUGCCAAUUUGGAAAUGCAAAGCCAACAAGAGCAGUUGGGGGUGAGCAUCAUAUCAAUGUCCCCAAAUGUCACUUUAUUAUUCGUUAACCGUGCCCAAAAAAGAGCACAAGUAACUGCUCUCAAGCCUAUGCUUGUUCUUGAGGUGGACCAAUAAUUUCUUGAAAUAGGAUACAGUGUGAAUUUAAAUUGAGAUACAAAACAAUAAAUUCACAAUUAGUACUAAAUUAAUACCAACACAAAUUAGCUACUGCUAUUUUUAUUUUGAUUCUCAUUUAUAACUGAUUCAAGCCUCCAAAACAAUCGUGGCAGCAGGUACAGUCCCAGGUUCCUUUUUUCAUACUUUGGUUUGUAUAUUUCUGCCAUUUUAUCAGUGUGUGUAUUAAAAUGUCUAUUGAUCACUACUUGCUCUGUCCACAACACACUGCAUAUGUAUUGUGAUUUAGGAUAUGCCUCAUGAAGUUUGAGUGUGUUUCUGGUCCUUCAUUUUUACUACAUAACAUGUUUAGCUGUUUGUUCAAUCAGGUCUUGUGAAAUUAAUCAUGCUUCAUCUGGACCAUUCAUUUUUACUACAUAACAUGUUUAGCUAUUUGUUCAAUCAGGUCUUGUGAAAUUAAUCAUGCUUCAUCUGGACCAUCGAUUAAGUAAUACUACAAAAAAAUCAGAUUCAGGUUUGGUCAUAUCUGAUGUACUAAAAUCCAGGUGAAUAAGAUGGGGUUCAUAGGAUCCACAUCAACUUUUUAUUAAAUUGUACCUUAAUAUAAACCCAAAGCUAACACUGCAUUUUUUUCUUUUGGGGAAAACAAUUUAUAGGUUGUUCUUCACCAGAACAAACAUACUUGUUUAUUGUUUAGGUUUAGGGUCAUUGGAGAUGGCGAUCGUGGCCGGAUGUAUUCUCUUUGGAGUAUGAUGCUAGGGUCCCCAUAAACAAGUGUUCACAACUUCAGUUAUGAAGAUAUAUCUCAAGGUUUUCAACUUAAAAUUUCAUCAAGAUCAUGAUCCUAGACUUGAAGUUGAUUUAAUUCAUUGGUAGAUUCACUAAAAUUCUGAAAUGAUUUAAUUAAGGUUUGCUUCUACCAGUCGAAGUUGUGAAAGUUGUCAUUUUUACUAAAGCAGCAAUUUAUAUAAUUGUUAAACUUCUCUGCAAGGCUUAAAGUAGCUGGCCUUCCUAAGGUUAUGCCUUUUCUUCCUCGUUAUUCUUUGCUUUAAUUUAUUAUGUAUGUCUAAAGGGUUUUUGUUUUUCAGAUUUACAUCGGCUGUUUAAGGAUUUGUUUAUCUAUUGGUCAAAUUUCUUAGUUGUUCGAUUUAUAAUCAAAAGCCUAAAAUGAUGGGCCAACCUUGUGUCUUGUAAUGUUUUGGACUUUUCUAUUAGGUUUGUCUUUUGUAUCAGGUGUGUUGUGUAUGCUAUCAAUCUUGUUUUUUUGUGAACCCAUUUUGUUUAGGCUUGAGAUUUAUCUCAUCUCUCACACCUUUCCUUUUGUUAUUCCACAAAGACAGAGGAGGGGACCAAGGGACUAAGGGUGGCAUGUGGAAACUGAAACAGUUCUAGCCAACACGACAUGGCGUGGAUUGAACUUGAAUCGACGAGCUAUGUGCCAGUUAUCGCUCUUCUAAACACAUCAACCAGUGCACCAAAACUAGCUUCUUUCUUCCUUGGGAGAUAGAUGGAAAUUGUGGUCAUCAACAGCUCUAGCACACACCGAGAGUGCAUUGAACUGGGCAAGGAUUAGUUCCUGUAUAAUGGCACAUUGGCACUACUGUAAUGCAUAAGGAUUUGUUCUCACAUUUGAAGUACAGGCUGUUCACAUUGCAACCCCUGCUCAAGAGAAGAGGAAGGCAUAAUGGAGGACUUGCAGGAGUUUCAAGACUACGAUGAGUUCUAGGUGUGGGUUAGCGGCAAACCCCCAGUCGGCUGCAUGUGAAGGCCUUAUCUUACUACGUUUCGUAUUCACACUUUGAUCUAUGUUUAAGACUAUGUGGAUGUCUCGGACAUCGUGAUGUAAUCAAAUUAAUAACUCUUUACGUUAUUAUUUGAGCAUGUGUGAUGAUGUCCAAUUAUGUAAUCGAUGUGUAC